rnacentral:lncRNA from 8 species
GACUUGCCUAGUUAAAUAAAAACGUUUUUUUAUUUUUAUUUGGUAAAUACCACCUUCCCAUUUGGUUUCGAAUGACGCAUUCAUUUACGCUCACGUUUCCCCAAGUACAGAUUCCCAUUUGACGCUAUUACACUGAAGUACCGCCUUUUAAAGAUUUGUUGGGCAUUAUCAAAUAGUCAUUGGGCAUUAUCCACAGCUCCCGUUUGAAGGCUACAACGUGAGUACAUUUCGGUAGUCAACAGACUGAGCUAAAAGUUGGAUACUUUGACGUUAAUUGCUCGGUGGAACUUUGUAACGCCUGUAGGAAAGUGUAUUCUGGAUAAAGCAAGGAGUCUUUAUUGGGACAGCUGUCAUUUUAAAGUUAGUUUCAAUUGACACAGUUGUAAGUGACUGACAAUGUUAUCUAAAAUUCCGUUGUAUUCUGGUGAGCUUUUAACACUAAACAAAUUGCCUGUAUAAUUCUAUUCCAUUUUAGCUCGUAUUAUUUUUGGUUCAACGUGUGCCACUAAAAUAUUUAUACGUUUCUUAGGAGAUGCUAUCGUGUUCUGAAUACGGUAUAAUAGUAUUUGGUUACACCGUCCAAGUUGAAAAACAUCAUGCUCCAUAUUUUACAACCCUGCACUGUUGGAAAGAACCCGCUGAGAUGGCAGUUGUCAUAGUCUAACUAAGCCUGUGAGGGCUGGGGCCGGAGCGAGUGACUGCCCA